rnacentral:rRNA from 1 species
UCGAACGAAACUUCUUUAUCACCGAGUGCUUGCACUCACCGAUAAAGAGUUGAGUGGCGAACGGGUGAGUAACACGUGGGCAACCUGCCCAAAAGAGGGGGAUAACACUUGGAAACAGGUGCUAAUACCGCAUAACCAUAGUUACCGCAUGGUAACUAUGUAAAAGGUGGCUAUGCUACCGCUUUUGGAUGGGCCCGCGGCGCAUUAGCUAGUUGGUGGGGUAAAGGCUUACCAAGGCAAUGAUGCGUAGCCGAACUGAGAGGUUGAUCGGCCACAUUGGGACUGAGACACGGCCCAAACUCCUACGGGAGGCAGCAGUAGGGAAUCUUCCACAAUGGGCGAAAGCCUGAUGGAGCAACGCCGCGUGGGUGAAGAAGGUCUUCGGAUCGUAAAACCCUGUUGUUAGAGAAGAAAGUGCGUGAGAGUAACUGUUCACGUUUCGACGGUAUCUAACCAGAAAGCCACGGCUAACUACGUGCCAGCAGCCGCGGUAAUACGUAGGUGGCAAGCGUUAUCCGGAUUUAUUGGGCGUAAAGGGAACGCAGGCGGUCUUUUAAGUCUGAUGUGAAAGCCUUCGGCUUAACCGGAGUAGUGCAUUGGAAACUGGGAGACUUGAGUGCAGAAGAGGAGAGUGGAACUCCAUGUGUAGCGGUGAAAUGCGUAGAUAUAUGGAAGAACACCAGUGGCGAAAGCGGCUCUCUGGUCUGUAACUGACGUUGAGGCUCGAAAGCGUGGGGAGCAAACAGGAUUAGAUACCCUGGUAGUCCACGCCGUAAAC